UCCUCUUCUUUUCCCUCCCCUCGCCUGUGAAACAGUUGCGCAGUAGAUUAUUUUUGUGGAGGAGAGAGACGGCAGAGAGAACCUAUAUUUGGGUUGUGACAACACACGGAGGAAAAAUGGCUGCGUGCUUUGCCUAUGCUGUUGGACCCUGAUUUUUUCACGCGAACGAUGCAAAAUAGGUUUGGGUGCCGUAAUAGCUACUGUUGGAGACAGUCUAACUCUCGUGGCUUUCUCUAUGCCUGAGAGAGAGGUCAGCUCCUCCACCGCUUCCUCUCUCCUCUCAUUCUAGAUCCAGCGGACCUUGCUUUCUGGCCAUGGGCCUCAACUGCUUCUGGUGGCGGCAUGGACGGGCCUAGCCAUAGGCAUCGACAUCCUUUUGUCGGAAUCAAAUCUGAGCUCGGCCGAGGAGGAUCCGAUGAGGGCAACUGAUGGCCAUCGUAUCUUCUUGUCCUGGACAUCACGCUGCCAUUGAGUCUGGUGGAGGCACGAGACAAGAGACGUAUCGUUGUCGGUAGAUCUGUGAGCUAGGUGCGAGGCCUUGCAACCGCAGGGAGCUCGCGAGGGACAGGUAGAUCCACCAACAAGGAUAUGUGAAAGCAGCAGCAGUUGGAACAUAUGACGAAAUAUUAAGAAACUUCAGUGCAAAGCAAAAUGCUAAAAAGUCUGAUCCCAUUUUAAUUUGUGGGAUAAGAAGCUUCAGCUUGCCCCUCUUGGCACUAAAACCAUUCAUAAGGUUCUUUUAUGCAUCAUGUGACAGUGCUGCUGUGCCUACAUCUACUUUGAAUUUAAGCAGUUGGAAACUGAUUGAGCAGCUGGAAACUGUAGUUAGAGGAGCCAAAUACUGAUAGCGAGGAUUUGAUAAUUGCCAUAUCUUUGGCCCUCAAUAUUUGUGAUUUUUAUUCUUCUUAAUGUAAUUGAAACUGAUGGUGUUCCUAGACUGAGGUCUUAUGUAACUGUAAAUUAACUUGUCUAUAUGGGUUAUACGUUUGUAUUUUUGUUGUAUGUGAUAUAAUGGGCUAUAUAUGUUGUAUGUGGUA